GCUGGGCGCGGUGGCUCACGCCUGUAAUCCCAGCACUUUGGGAGGCCGAGGCGGGUGGAUCACCUGAGGUCAGGAGUUCAAGACCAGCCUGACCAACAUGGAGAAAACCCGUCUCUA
rnacentral:SRP_RNA from 1 species